rnacentral:rRNA from 1 species
UACGUAGGGGGCAAGCGUUGUCCGGAUUCAUUGGGCGUAAAGAGCGUGUAGGCGGCCAGGUAGGUCGGUUGUGAAAACUGGAGGCUCAACCUUCAGAGGUCGACCGAAACCAUCUGGCUAGAGUCCGGGAGAGGAGAGUGGGAAUUCCUGGUGUAGCGGUGAAAUGCGCAGAUAUCAGGAGGAACACCGGUGGCGAAGGCGGUUCUCUGGGCAUGUCCUGACGCUGAGGAGCGAAAGUGUGGGAGGCGAACAGG